AAACAUUGCAGAUGAAAUCGAUGCAACAUAUGUUCGCAGAAAAGUCAACGUCCUCGAGCCACGCAUGAAUUCAUUUUGCCGAAGGUGCAGUUAGGAUGGGAGACAGAGGAACUAAUUAAAAGAUGUAGUACUGACUUCGGAUCCUUCACCGACUUCCCAUACAAAGAAAGAAGGACAUCCCUAUUCCUCGCUGCGGAAGAUUGGUAUUGCACUUCGUGCAGCAAUGAAAUGAGAAAGAUGGAGGAGGUAGAAUAGAGAACUUUACCGU
rnacentral:misc_RNA from 1 species